CGGGGUUCAGGAGCAGAGGCACAGGAAAGGGAGGAAAUAGAGAGCGAGGGAGAGGAGUCCGAAGGAAAUGUUAGCGAUGACAGCGGUCCGAGGUCUCUGAGUCUUUCCAGCGAAUCGGAAGAUUCACAGAAAGGGGCUCCCUUGGUCAGAGCAAGGGGGGUGCCGAGGGAGACACCCCAGGAAGAAGGGGCCAGAGGGGACUCAGAGAGCAGCAGUUGGAAAUCAGGACCAGCGUCCACACCAGAGUGCAGUAGGGGGGAGGGGUCCCAGGCAUCGGGAUCAGGCGGCGCACUGCCAGUGGGAGGACAUGAGUCAGGAUUGGCCACGCCUCCAUCGGGGAGCGAGGAAACGGUCGAGAGGAAGGUUGAAGGCUGGGCGCGCGCCAAGUUCAAAUGUACAGGAGGGCGGCGCAGUUGGCAGCCCGGAUAGGGAGCCAGGUCCCAAAGCCCGCCGAAAAGAGGGG
rnacentral:lncRNA from 1 species